UUCCCUCGAAGAUACUAUGUCCCUUGCUCACCCUUUUGUCACUUUCUCUUUUGCUCUGAUUUUCAGUCAUCGGUCUAUGAUGAGUCUAAAGCCCUAAUCACGUAGGAUCCUGUCGCUCCUAAUAAAGAGUUCAGACUUUAUUUGGAGAGAUGGAUGCAGUAGUUGAAGCCUUUGGACUUGAUAUGAUGUGCAUGUCCUGGUGGCUGCAGGUGGAGACCAGGGGCACGGUGGAUGCAGGGGAGGAUGAGGACACUGCUGCAGUGACCAGGACAAAGGCCAUGGCAACCAGGGCAAGGGCCGUGGGGACAGUGAGCUGUGAUCAAAGUCGGCCACGUUUUGAAAGUAGCUGAAAUAACAAUGCAUGGGAAUAUGCAUGUGUGUUAGGAAGAAAGAGAAAUCAAGGGUCUUUGCUGACUGAGUUUUCGACCUGAGAAUCUGGGCAGUGGCAGUGCUAUGCCCUGAGAAAGAGACAAUCUGAGCUAGGGAAGUAGACUGCGGGAAAUCUACGGUUCUCUCUUAAUAGCAAGUUUGAGACUCUGGGUAAGGGGAGAUGAUGAGUAGGAAGCUGAAGUGGGAAGUCUGAGCUAAGCGGCUAGCUCUAAGCCAGAGAUCAAAGCAACAACCUUGAAAAUCAUUCGCGCAUGGACGAGGCUGAAAGCCACUGGACUGGGUGAGACCAGCCAGAGACAAGGGUGGACGGGAAGGGACCAAGGGCCGAUCGCUGGAGAGGAGUUCCACAGAGAAGGGACAGACAGCAGAAGGGAGCAGGAAGGAGCUCAGAAAGUAGACAAACAGAGAGAGGUGCUUUCAAGAAAGCCAAAAGGAAAUGCUUCAGGAAAGAGGGAAUCAUAUUUGCCUUGGUCAAAUCAGGAUAAAAUUUUGCCACUGACUCGGGCAAUUUGACAGUGAAACGGUCGUCUCAGUGGACUGGUGGAGAGGAGGACCUGUUUGGAGAGGUUGAGGAGAAAACGGGAGAUGAGGAGGUGGAGAAAGUGAAGAUAAACUCGGUUUGUGCCGGGUGCGUUGAGGCAAGAAGCCACGAGGAAAUCACAAGAGCAGCUGAAGCUGCCCAACCUGCUUGUUCUUCCUAACGUGUCCCUGGUGCUACAGAGAGAAUAUUCUGUUCACGGUAGCUGGAACAGUGAACACCUAGAAAUUAGGAAGACAGGAUUUAGGGCCAGUUGUUUGCUUACUAAUCAUCGAGUAUGUCCCUUUUAUGUGGAUUGACGGAAUUCAGCCCCCAGCUCACACAGGAGUUAUGGCCAAAGACGUGGAUUUCUAAAGAAAAAUUCCAAGAUUCCAAGAAAUUGUUUUCUUCUAAGUUUCUGAGACCUGAAGAUGAGUACAGAAUCAUGACGAAACUUUCUGAUUAGAAAGGGAAUAUAUACGUGCAUGUGGUUAAACAGAAAAUUAAGAAACAUAGAAAAAUAUAGAAUGAAAAUGUAAUCUAUUUCCCACUGCCCACUUUGUCCCAUUUUCCGGAAGCAACCACUCUCAACAGUUUAUUUUGUAUCACAAGCCUAUCCCUUGUGUUUUACAUAAAUAAGAUAAUAUUAAACCCACCGCGUCGUAGUUUGCUUUCACUCAGCAAAGUACCAUGAAGAUCACUCUGUGUCAUCACUUGGCGAUCUGACCCAGAUCUCAUAUUCUGUUUUAUGCAUGUGUCAUAUUUUAUUUAAACAGUCCCUUAUCAAUUUCAGGUUGCUUCUUUGCCCUUCUAACACACCAUCCUGCAGUGAACAUUUUUUUAUGUAACUCUUGUUGUUUGGUAAGUGUAUCUAUUGGAUAAAUUCCUCCCACUGGAUGCGUAUUCUCAAAUUUUGUCAGAUGUUGCCAAAUUGUCUUGAGUUUAUACCAUCUCCUACAGAAUCGGAGGCCCUCUUUCUCCACAAAAAUGGUCAAUUACAUUGAUAGCCCCAAUUCUUCUCAUUCCUUGGACCACGUCCCUUGUCAGUCACUCUGUAGUCCCUCCCACGAAACAAGGGAAGAAAAGUCCUCCACUUGUUGGCUUGGGUUUGGCGGGGAUGCGCUUGGGUACGUUGGCACAAACCUACCGCAGCUUCAGGCUCCUGUCCUGCCCAGAGCUGACCCUCCGGAUCAGACGGCCCCGGGCCCCUGGACGAGCUGCAGGAACUUGGUCCAGAUGGACACCCUGGGAAGGUCGGGGAGACCUCCUGAGCUCCCCAGGUCUUGCUGGCCACUGACAUUCCUGCCAGCUGGCGACCCCUGUCCUGGGUGGCAUCUCCCAGGCCUGGUGCCAUCCUGCUUUCUCUUAGCCGCCUACUGGAAGCCAGACAUCACCCCUUGCUUGUUCUUCUUGCUUGAACAGACUUCCCACUCAGCCGCCUUUCUCUGCCCCUUCCUGCGGCAUCAGGCAGAGAAUUUCUCCUGUCCCCGGAAGGCGGGGGCGGCCGUGGGGCCGUGGUCGUGGUUCACGGGAUGGAAACGCAGGUUCGAGCUCAGGAUCUCCAACCCCUUUUCCCACCUUCCCGGGCUCCAGAGCCCUAUAGCUGGACUUGGAAACAUUUUUUUUAAUUUCUCCAUUUCUUCCCGUGUUUCCCUGAGAUCCUCUGAUGUCCACACUUGGUUUUCCUGUCAUUCCCACAGUCUUGGAGGCACCGAGGGCAGCCUCUAAGGAAGGAGGUGAGGACUGUCCGUGCGACAGUAUUUUACCCUCCAUGCAAAACACAGCACAAGCAGAAGCUGCGCCGCUCUCGCCGUCACCUUGAAAUUCUCACGCCAGCUUGCGUCCUAGGACCUCUGAGCAACGGCUGUUUCAAUAUUUGAAGAAUAGUUCCAAAUUUGAAGAAAAGUCUGUCAUAAAAUCACUUUGUAUUAAAUAAAAUGGUGUUUUACAGAAGUCCCUCUCAGCCACAGCCAGAUGAACGAACAUGAAGGAUGGUUCUGUAAACUUCCCUCCCACACAGACUGCAAGCACCCACCGAAUAACGCAGCACCAGGUAACGGGCCCCCCUGGGCAGGGCCGCCGGGUCGCUGGCGUUGCUGGUGUCCCAAGUUGGAGCACACAGCGAGCGGCGCGGAGACGCGCUUGGUCCUCAGAGCAGCACUCGGGCGUGUGGUGAACCCACAGCGUGCGAGCUCACCGCACCGUCUGAACAUGGGAAUUGGGCCACGUGACAGCACAUUUUGAUAAAUAAAAGACACAAGCCUCGUAGAUCUUGUGUGGACACGAGACACGUAAAGAUGUUUUGUCCAUUUGGCUGACGGACACUCUCUUCUCCAGAGAGGGGCUUUAUAAAUUCUGAAGCUCAGGAGCCAGAUGCCCUAAAUUACAUCAAUGUUUGAGUUACUCAAUGUCCAAUGUCAGCACUUCACAGUUAAUGCAGGGACGUCCCAGAAUCUGCCCCAGCUUCCCCAGGAAUGCAGAAUCCGCCCUCUCUACCCCCCGCCGCAGGUGGUGCGGGCCAGGUGGGGAAGGCUCUAAGGCUCACUGAACUUCACUGCAGGAAAACAAGAAAUCGGCCACCGCCUUGCAGGUCCCUGAGUCAGACGCCGGUUCCUGGGCAGGGUGGGGCUUGGAUGCUGCAGACUAAAGGGGCACAGCCGGGGAGUCUGUUGGGGGGUGGCAUGGAGUCCUGUAGAGUGCAGGGUGUCGUGCCAGCCCAAGGCCCCAGGACAUGAGCCACUUGGUUGGCAUGGCCAGCGAGGUCUGGCCAUUGGAUGGCUGGCGGAGCCAGUAUCCACAUCACUCAUGGCAGCCAGGGUCCCAGGAGCGGAGCCACCCGGCCCAAGACUCAGCUUAC